rnacentral:snoRNA from 1 species
AUCCCGAGAUGAGGGCCUCUAUGUAGUAACUCCUUGAAUCUUUCCCACGCCUCGUAUAAGGACUCAUCAUCCAAUUGUUGAAAAGUGGUGAUCUCAUUCUGUAACU